rnacentral:rRNA from 1 species
GAUGAACGCUGGCGGCGUGCCUAAUACAUGCAAGUCGAGCGAACAGACGAGGAGCUUGCUCCUCUGACGUUAGCGGCGGACGGGUGAGUAACACGUGGAUAACCUACCUAUAAGACUGGGAUAACUUCGGGAAACCGGAGCUAAUACCGGAUAAUAUAUUGAACCGCAUGGUUCAAUAGUGAAAGACGGUUUUGCUGUCUCUUAUAGAUGGAUCCGCGCCGCAUUAGCUAGUUGGUAAGGUAACGGCUUACCAAGGCAACGAUGCGUAGCCGACAUGAGAGGGUGAUCGGCCACACGAGAACUGAAACACGGUCCAGACUCCUGCGGGAGGCAGCAGUAGGGAAUCUUCGGCAAUGGGGGAAAGCCUGACGGAGCAACGCCGCGUGAGUGAUGAAGGUCUUCGGAUCGUAAAACUCUGUUAUUAGGGAAGAACAAAUGUGUAAGUAACUAUGCACGUCUUGACGGUACCUGAUCAGAAAGCCACGGCUAACUACGUG